rnacentral:tRNA from 1 species
GGAAGCGUACCCAAGCGGUCAAAGGGAACUGUCUUGAAAACAGAGAGCUGGGAAACUGGGCGUAGGUUCGAAUCCUACCGCUUCCG